rnacentral:misc_RNA from 1 species
GAUGAAGAACGCAGCGAAGUGCGAUAAGUAAUGUGAAUUGCAGAAUUCAGUGAAUCAUCGAAUCUUUGAACGCACAUUGCGCCUGCCAGCACUCUGGCAGGCAUGCCUGUUCGAGCGUCAUUUCAACCAUCAAGCCCUAGGCUUGCGUUGGAGCCCUGCGGCUGCCGCAGGCCCCUAAAAGCAGUGGCGGGCUCGCUAUCACACCGAGUGCAGUAGAUUACUCUUCGCUCAGGGCGUGUGGCGGGUUCCAGCCGUGAAACCCCCUACUUCUCAAGGUUGACCUCGGAUCAGGUAGGAAUACCCGCUGAACUUAAGCAUAUCAAUAAGCGGAGGA